rnacentral:rRNA from 1 species
GAUGAACGCUGGCGGCGUGCCUAAUACAUGCAAGUCGAGCGAACGGACGAGAAGCUUGCUUCUCUGAUGUUAGCGGCGGACGGGUGAGUAACACGUGGAUAACCUACCUAUAAGACUGGGAUAACUUCGUGAAACCGGAGCUAAUACCGGAUAAUAUUUUGAACCGCAUGGUUCAAAAGUGAAAGACGGUCUUGCUGUCACUUAUAGAUGGAUCCGCGCUGCAUUAGCUAGUUGGUAAGGUAACGGCUUACCAAGGCAACGAUGCAUAGCCGACCUGAGGGGGUGAUCGGCCACACUGGAACUGAGACACGGUCCAGACUCCUACGGGAGGCAGCAGUAGGGAAUCUUCCGCAAUGGGCGCAAGCCUGACGGAGCAACGCCGCGUGAGUGAUGAAGGUCUUCGGAUCGUAAAACUCUGUUAUUAGGGAAGAACAGCUGUGGAAGUAACUGUGCACAUUUUGACGGUACCUAAACAGAAAGCCACGGCUAACUUCGUG